CUGGUUGAUCCUGCCAGUAGUGAUAUGUUCGUCUCAAAGAUUAAGUCUUGCAUAGCUAAGGGCAUACCCUAUUAAAGCGAAACUACGAAUUAAUUAUUAAAUCAGUUGUGCUUCCUUCCUAAGUAGUAGUAAGUUUCGUUAUUACUUCGAUAACUGUGGUAAUUCUAGAACUAAUACACACAAGAGAGCUCCUAACCUCUGGAAUCGAGCGCUAUUAUGAAAGCAAAACCAAAAGUACUUUCUGUCCAUAUUAUGCGCUGACUCUGCAUAGCCUUGGAGUGAUCCCAUAGGCUCAUCCCUGAGACGUAUCUUUCAAGUGUCUGCCUUAUCAAAUAUCGAUAGCAAACUACGCGCCAACCAUGAUCGUACCGGGUGACGAGGAAUUAGGGUUCGAUUCGGGAGAGGGAGCCUGAGAAAUGGCUACCUCAUCCAAGGAAGGUAGCAGACGUUCAAAUUACCAACUUCCAGAAAGGGGAGUUAGUGACAUAAGAUACUAAUACAUAACUCUUUUGAGAACCCCUAAGUCUGAAUACUUUAACGAGGAUCAAUUGAAGGACAAGGCUGGUGCCAGCAGCUCGGUAUACAGAAGCGACAAAUUAGCAGGGUAAUUUUUACUGUGAAAUAGUUUAAU
rfam:Stegodyphus mimosarum contig42002, whole genome shotgun sequence.